rnacentral:rRNA from 1 species
AUUGAACGCUGGCGGCAGGCCUAACACAUGCAAGUCGAGCGGAUGAAGGGAGCUUGCUCCUGGAUUCAGCGGCGGAUGGGUGAGUAAUGCCUAGGAAUCUGCCUGGUAGUGGGGGAUAACGUCCGGAAACGGGCGCUAAUACCGCAUACGUCCUGAGGGAGAAAGUGGGGGAUCUUCGGACCUCACGCUAUCAGAUGAGCCUAGGUCGGAUUAGCUAGUUGGUGGGGUAAAGGCCUACCAAGGCGACGAUCCGUAACUGGUCUGAGAGGAUGAUCAGUCACACUGGAACUGAGACACGGUCCAGACUCCUACGGGAGGCAGCAGUGGGGAAUAUUGGACAAUGGGCGAAAGCCUGAUCCAGCCAUGCCGCGUGUGUGAAGAAGGUCUUCGGAUUGUAAAGCACUUUAAGUUGGGGGGAAGGGCAGUAAGUUAAUACCUUGCUGUUUUGACGGUACCAACAGAAUAAGCACCGGCUAACUUCGUG